AACUUUAAAGGAAUUGACGGGGCCCGCACAAGCGGAGGAACAUGUGGUUUAAUUCGAUGAUACGCGAGGAACCUUACCUGGGCUUAAAUGGGGAGUGACAGCUGUCGAAAGAUGGUUUUCUUCGGACACUCUUCAAGGUGCUGCAUGGUUGUCGUCAGCUCGUGCCGUGAGGUGUCGGGUUAAGUCCCAUAACGAGCGCAACCCUUACCGUUAGUUACCAUCAGGUUAAGCUGGGGACUCUAGCGGGACUGCCACCGUAAGGUGAGAGGAAGGUGGGGAUGACGUCAAAUCAGCACGGCCCUUAUGUCCAGGGCUACACACGUGUUACAAUGGCCGGUACAAAGGGCAGCUACUUCGCGAGAAGAUGCUAAUCUCGAAAGCCGGUCUCAGUUCGGAUCGAAGUCUGCAACCCGACUUCGUGAAGCUGGAUUCGCUAGUAAUCGCGCAUCAGCCAUGGCGCGGUGAAUACGUUCCCGGGCCUU
rnacentral:rRNA from 1 species